UUGUUGGUGAUCCCUGUGUAUCUGAGGCCUUCUGAAGCCUGAUGAGAACUGAAGAGGACUUCAAUUUAGUCUGUUUUCCAUGCUUGAUGACAAGGUUCAGGACCCCCUCCUAUAAACUCAGGCAUGAGAGAUAUCAUCUCUAAAAAUUCAAGCCUGGGGCAGCCAGCAAUGACAGAACAAAAGAGAACAUAUUUCUUCUCCUUGUCCACUGCUAACUGUUUCAAGCUGAGCCCCAGAAAUAAAAUGAUCCUGUUCAGCCCCAAAGGCAUUUAUAUGUAACCAUUGCUGCAUUCAGCCUUUCACUUCACUGCAAGAAAGAUUUAUGCUCUGAAGGAUGAUGAGAAGGGCUAUGUUAUUAAUCAUGAAAUCCAUCAUCUGUCCAAAAACCUGAUGGAAGAGGUCCCACCAAGGUCCUAACUCUGUGUUUGCCAACUCCUGAGAUGGCUCCUGGGAUUCAGCAUGAUUCACUUCUGAGUGGCAACGUUUGGGCAUGUGAAGGAUCUGCCUGCACUAGGCACAGCUGCCACAUGCAAUGACAGAAGGACAAGGCUGUCUAUGGCCACACAGCACCCAUCUCACCUCCCACCCCUGGUUGCCAGUGGGGCGAUCCAGCUCCCUGCUGCUGUGGUAGUGUGGAUGAGCCCUCCCUGAGCCCUUCAGUCUAAAUAAGACCAGUUAACAAAGCUUUCAUAUUGAAACACUCAUCUGGGAUCAAAUGGGCUGGCUGGUGGCUUCUGCACAGCUUUUUUUCCUUGUGCCUUACUUGCACUGUUCAGCAGUUGAUAAAUCAGUGCUAUCACAGAUCUUGUAUGAUGCCGUAAUGGUGAUAGAUAGCCACUUUCUUCCCUGCCCCCCUCCUCGUUUGCUUUUUUGGAGCAAGUUUCUGAAUAUUUUCUUGUUUUCUCUCUGUUUUGAUCAUGCCCUGGGGUUUGGCUGAAUGAUCAAAGUAGUCAGAGCAUGGUGAAUUGAGCUCUGUCCUCAGGUUACGUCCAUGCAAAUCAAGAGCAGCGGGAAGACUGGCUCGGACUUUCAAGAAGGUGGCUGAAAGGAGAAUAGGCCCUAAGGUCAUUAAAGGGGAUUGCAGGGAUUUUAGAAAAACAUCGUUUUCUGUGACAGGGAGGGAAGUUGGUAUGGCACUAAUGUGGGCACCAAAUCCAUCCAGAACACACAGGCUAAAUAAGGAUGGGGCUAUCCCAUUAGACCUCAGCCCUCAGAGGCAACAUGAUGGAACCCAGAUGGAAGUGUGAUGGGAAAACUGAGCUGCAGACUAGUCUGGCACUGUACCACCAUGUCUGAAGCCUAAAUUUGCUGUCACACAAAUCCAUCCAUGUAAAUCCAGCCUAGCGGGCCCAUGGCAGCUGUUCAACCUUUUUGGUGCUUAUUGAUGUAACUACUGAUUUUUUUUUUUCACUGAUAUGAGAAGUAACUCAGCUAUUAGUGAGUAUGCUUAUGACUGUAGCGUGUAGGCACCCUGAAUAGUGCUCUUUCAUGCUUGGAGUUGCAUAUAUUCCUACUGUAUGCCCUAAGCAGCAGUGGUGGAAGAAGCAGGGCAUCCCAGGAGGGCAGAGUGGUGCUGGUACACUUAUGCACUGACCAAAUAUGAAAAAGCAUUUGGUCUUUAUGUGAAAAAGAUGUAAAUGAGAGAGAACUGGCUGAGAGAUGGGGGGGAAGGCAGCAAGGUAGGCAGUUCUGAUGGCUCCUGCAGAUUGUCUGCAUUUCAGGUUUUCAUCUAUUUCUUUCUCUGUCCCUACUCAGCUUGUGUUUAACAUCAGCAGCCUUCCAUCAUCACAUUCUGUAUGUGCAUAGUUUAUGAUGAGACAUGUCUUAAGCUUCCAGGUAGCAAAACAAAAAUGACUAAAGUCCUCUGCCUUACAACUCAACAGCAAGGGGACUGUUUUCCACAGAUUUUGAAGAGCUGGUGUGGGAGUCAACACUUUAACAACUCCCACCUCCUCAACAGAAUGCUUGUGGACUUCAGGAUCUGACUCAAGGGGUGCAAUUCAGCUGUCAUUCUGGGACGUGUCCCUCUUACCCCACUCUUGGUGCAUGCCUGCCUUUGCCCAUCAUCUACUCCUCCUGCAGAGCUUCCUGCACUCCAUACCUAAUUUCUUCCUCAAUUUCUUCCUCUCGCCUGUGCUGUUUUGUGAUUCCAUAUUUUGCAGCUCUAUAGGGAGAAGUGCUUCUGCUGAUUUCUUUUUUUUUUUCCUCAGUUGCUACUGCUACCGUUUAGUCUGUGGCAGAGCUGUGCUAUCCUACACCUCAUCUGCACUGCUCUUGCCCAGGCUCCUCUGUCCCUCCUGUUUUCUUUCCUCUUUGUCAGGGGAGGGUAUUUGCAGCAUCUGGGCUCCAGAUCUGGGGCAGAGAAGGUAGUCCUCCCGUGCUGGUGCUGCAAUAGUGAGCACUCAGCUGAUGGAAGCAGUGCUAGGUGGCUCUAGAUGCUUCCAGGUGUGAGCAAGUUUGCAAAUCCCUGAGUUUAGAGAUGGUUUUGGGUGUGCAUACCCAGCAGUGAAGCCACAGACAGCUUAGGAGGCACAGGAGAUGCACAGAGCUGGAUUGCACCACAGGCACAAGGAAAUCUAGAAAAGAUUCAGACACUGAAUUUGGGCAACCGAGUCCCAGUGGGCAACUGAAGCCAAAGCACAGUGGUAGUGAAGACUUUCCUCUUCAAUUUAACUCUGAUAAAAACUAAAUAUGGAAUUCCAGCAUUCAGAGAAGUUGAAAAGCUCUGCACAGGACUUCCUGUAUCCUCUUCUGGAGAAGGGCAACAUGGUGGAACAUUAAACUGAAGAAAUAAAUGCUUGUAGAUUUGUGAAUGCUGGCCAGACUGGGCACACUGCUCAGAAGGAGCACUGGGACUGAUCUGCUGGCACCAGUGUGUAACUGCUGGUGGAUUUUACCACCCACUUAUCCAGCCUUGAUUUAUGAAAUCAGCCAGGAACAUCUUCUGCUUCGAAAGGGAAUAGGUCUUUAAUAAAUGAAGAUGCAUGGGAAAGAAUUAAAACCUGACAUCGCAUUAGGAGAGCAAAGAUUAUUUCUCUCCUUCCUCUGUAAAAUCUGAUCAUACAUGGAAUUAUCCAAGAAAAGUUCUAUCAGAAGGAACUAGAUAGAACUGAUAGCUCUGAUGGCAGAGCAGGGAGCACAGAAGUCGUGGCUGUGCUUGUGUGCCAGGGUUCCUCAUUUGGCCAUCCCUCCUAUGGGCAAUCACAGCCUCACACAAGCAGGGAAGGGCCAGAAAUCAGUCUGCCAACAACUGGUUCACUGCCCACCUGAAGUGCCCAGCUUCAUUCCAAACCUGCUGCUGUCAGAGCUUGGAGCAUGCAAAGCUGUUAUGGGGCAACCCUUCUGCUCCUGCCUGUAUAGGGGAUGUGAGCACUACCUGGGCAAUGGAAGGAGAAAAAUCACUUCUUGCCCCUCUUAGUUUUUGCUUUCUAACAAAAUAAGGAGUUAGGAGCAUGGUUCCCUCUAGCACGGCAUUCCUCAGGUCAAGCCUGCACCAGAUACCACCUGGUAUUGCAAGGAGGAAACCUGUUCCUGCAUUAUCCUGGUGCUAGAAACUGUCUGCUUGCCUUUGAUUCACUUUCAGCCCUGUUUCCUCUGGUCCCAAGUCAACAUUAAUCUUAAUUAUGUCUCAGCUAACAAGCCUCUAAGAGUUUAUUAAACAGGCUUUUGUGUUCCCUAAUUGAAAAUCUCAGUGCAAAGUGUUUCCGCGCUGCUUCCGACUCUCCUGCUGUUUGACAAAUGGCAAUGGGAGGUGGGUGGAGGGGAGAGGGAUGGGGCACUGAUGGCAGCGCUGCCGUUCAGCUGUUGCAUCCUGGCAGGAGCUGAGGGGGACAGCCAGUAAGUCUGCCUGCAGCACAGUGAUCCUCUUGGUAGGGCAGUGGUAACUAAAAUGCCUGUUGUCAAAUUGCCUGAUGCAUAGACACAGCAUCACAUGGCCACUAAAUGUCUCUAAGAAGGGACAGCAAGUCUGCCAGGCACCAUGCGUGGGUUGGAGGGCUCAUCAUGUCCCUACCUGGGAGGAAGUGUGGAUCUGCCUGAGGGCAGGGAGACCCUACAGGUGGAUCUGGAUAGGAUGAAUGGGCUGAGACCAAUGAGAUGAGCUUCAACAAAGCCAAGUGCCAAGUCCUGCACUUUUGUCACAAUAACCCCAUGGUGAAGAUGGAUUGGCAGUUGGAU